rnacentral:lncRNA from 1 species
AGAAUCAAUACACACACACACACACGGACUCACCAAAACAAGAAAAAAAGAAAUUUUCUUUUAUAUGCUCGCGUGUCCUAAUUUUCAGCCUUGGAAAAUGUGAUCACCUUAGACGUUUUCUCCUAGUUGCCCCAAGGAAUGUCUUCAGAAUUCAGUUCCACGAGCAGCACUUGAUUGUGAAGUUCACGUCCAGCACUUUCUCCCCGCCUUUGGCAGAUGAAAUGCGACAGCACUGCUCUCUGUAGUCUGGCCACCGCCUGUGUAUGGUACUGAUUUCUCCAGGAACCAGAAAUCACUUGAAUGUUUAAUACAGAAGGCCUUUCAUGGAGACAAUUGGAUACAGAGGUGAUAGAAGGGCUGAGAUGCCAGGCAGGGGGCAGUGCAGCAACCAGAGACCAGAGGAGUGGGAAGCCCCUACCAGGCUAAAGGGACAAAGGCAGAAGAGGGUACAAUUGGAGCCCAGGGACUCGGACCCCCUGAGGCAGCUGGAACCAAGGAUCUUGCCCAUGCCUCCCGUCAGCCACUGCCUCAAGAAGCAAGCUGAAGCGGGAGCCUGGAAAGCAGAGCCUGCAGGCUUCGCUGUGAUGGAGAACAGAGCAAGGGAUGGGGAGGGGGGCACCUGGGGGCAAACGGGCUCAGGAUGGAACCUCCCCCUACCUUCUGCCUCUGAAGUCAAAAGGCAGGUAGUGCCAUUGAGAGUUGGGCAAGAAUGGACAGUAGAGGCAAGCAACCCCUAUGAUUUAUUGUCUUAGCACAAUAAGAACUUAUUCUUCUCUCACAGGGCGGUCUGAGGCAGCUGUUCCUGAUUGGUG